GACGAACGCUGGCGGCGUGCUUAACACAUGCAAGUCGAACGGUGAAGCGCCUUCCUUUUUGGUGGGUGUGGAUGAGUGGCGAACGGGUGAGUAACACGUGAGUAACCUGCCCCCUUCUUCUGGAUAACCGCAUGAAAGUGUGGCUAAUACGGGAUAUUCUGGGUCUGUCGCAUGAUGGGUCUGGGAAAGAUAUUGUUUCGGUGGGGGAUGGGCUCACGGCCUAUCAGCUUGUUGGUGGGGUGAUGGCCUACCAAGGCGGUGACGGGUAGCCGGCCUGAGAGGGUGGACGGUCACACUGGGACUGAGACACGGCCCAGACUCCUACGGGAGGCAGCAGGGGGGAAUAUUGCACAAUGGGCGCAAGCCUGAUGCAGCGACGCCGCGUGAGGGAUGGAGGCCUUCGGGUUGUGAACCUCUUUCGCCAGUGAAGCAGGCCUGCCUCGUUUGUGGGUGGGUUGACGGUAGCUGGAUAAGAAGCGCCGGCUAACUACGUG
rnacentral:rRNA from 1 species